UACGAAGGGGGCUAGCGUUGUUCGGAAUUACUGGGCGUAAAGCGCACGUAGGCGGACAUUUAAGUCAGGGGUGAAAUCCCAGAGCUCAACUCUGGAACUGCCUUUGAUACUGGGUGUCUUGAGUAUGGAAGAGGUGAGUGGAAUUCCGAGUGUAGAGGUGAAAUUCGUAGAUAUUCGGAGGAACACCAGUGGCGAAGGCGGCUCACUGGUCCAUUACUGACGCUGAGGUGCGAAAGCGUGGGGAGCGAACCGG
rnacentral:rRNA from 1 species